GUUCACAGCCAUACCACCAUGAACAUGCUCGAUCUCCAUUGGUCUCGGAGCUAAGCAGAGUUGGGCCUAGUUAGUACUCUGAUGGGGGGGGGGGGGAGUCACCAGAAACACAAGGAAGCCUGAAAA
rnacentral:rRNA from 1 species